GACGAACGCUGGCGGCGUGCUUAACACAUGCAAGUCGAACGGAAAGGCCCUGCUUUUGUGGGGUGCUCGAGUGGCGAACGGGUGAGUAACACGUGAGUAACCUGCCCUUGACUUUGGGAUAACUUCAGGAAACUGGGGCUAAUACCGGAUAGGAGCUCCUGCUGCAUGGUGGGGGUUGGAAAGUUUCGGCGGUUGGGGAUGGACUCGCGGCUUAUCAGCUUGUUGGUGGGGUAGUGGCUUACCAAGGCUUUGACGGGUAGCCGGCCUGAGAGGGUGACCGGCCACAUUGGGACUACGAUACGGCCCAGACUCCUACGGGAGGCAGCAGUGGGGAAUAUUGCACAGUGGGCGGAAGCCUGAUGCAGCAACGCCGCGUGCGGGAUGACGGCCUUCGGGUUGUAAACCGCUUUCGCCUGUGACGAAGCGUGAGUGACGGUAAUGGGUAAAGAAGCACCGGCUAACUACGUG
rnacentral:rRNA from 1 species